rnacentral:rRNA from 1 species
UACGUAGGCAGCAAGCGUUGUUCGGAGUUACUGGGCGUAAAGGGUGCGUAGGCGGCCUUAUAAGUAUGGUGUGAAAUCUCCCGGCUUAACUGGGAGGGUGCGCUAUAGGCUGUGGGGCUAGAGUGUGGGAGAGGAAAGUGGAAUUCCUGGUGUAGCGGUGAAAUGCGUAGAGACCCGGAGGAACACCAGUGGCGAAGGCGGCUUCCUGGUCUGCGACUGACGCUGUGGCGCGAAAGCUAGGGGAGCAAACGGG